GGCGGCAUGCUUAACACAUGCAAGUCGAACGGCAGCACGAGAGAGCUUGCUCUCUUGGUGGCGAGUGGCGAACGGGUGAGUAACGCGUAGGGAUCUACCCUGGAGCGGGGGACAACUCGGGGAAACUCGAGCUAAUACCGCAUAAUCUCUUUUGAGCAAAGAUUGCCUCUAUUUAUAUGCAGUCACUCUGGGAUGAACCUGCGUCCGAUUAGCUAGUUGGUAGGGUAAAGGCCUACCAAGGCGACGAUCGGUAGCUGUUCUGAGAGGAAGAUCAGCCACACUGGGACUGGGACACGGCCCAGACUCCUACGGGAGGCAGCAGUGGGGAAUAUUGGACAAUGGGGGCAACCCUGAUCCAGCAAUGCCGCGUGUGUGAAGAAGGCCUGCGGGUUGUAAAGCACUUUCAAUGGGGAGGAAGGCUUCUUAUUUAAUAGAUGAGAGGAUUGACGUUACCCAUAGAAGAAGCACCGGCUAACUCUGUG
rnacentral:rRNA from 1 species